GCCAUAGCUGUGGUUUUUUUUGGUCAGGGUUGUGGCGUUUGUACUAUUUCUGAUACAUCUAUAUAUCUAUAUAUAUAAAGAAAUGUUCGCCUCUCUCCCGUGAAGCCACGUCAUCAAUUCGUGCGUUCUGAGAGCGACACGUAGUUAAGGGUAAUGGAACCCAGCACCUCUAGCACUGGUAAUUUUUCUUAGAACCAGUAGGCUAAAGUCACUUUUUAUAAUUAUGUGACCGCGAAAAUACUUAUUAUCGUGUCAGCUGCAAGCCCAUGCUUCUUCUGCUUGUGGCCAGGGCCGACACUGAACUGACGUCAAGAUGAAGAUCGUGAAGUUAAAAGCUUUGCUCCAAACAGUUUUGCAAUGUUUCCAACCUAUAUAAUUUGAUGCAUAUAAUAUAUAUCAAAAUACAUUUGUUGUACACGCUUUUAUUAGUUUUGCUUUUAAAAGAAGGUAUUUACGGUUAUAAAUGUUUUGUGCCAGUGAAGUAAUGGUUGAAAAAUCUCUAUACAUAUGUCAUUUUAAAAUAACACCCAACUUCUAUAUAUAAUCAAUACAUAUGUCCAUGUUAUAUUCUAGACUAAAUAUUUUCUCUUUUAAAAAUAUAGAAAACAAUUUUUUUAGUCUACAAACAAAUAUUGUAGAGCAAGUAUACAUUAUACAAAAUAAUAUAUAUUUAAAAUCCAUACACAAAAACAUAAAAGUUGUUAUAGGUCUCUUUCUGACACAUGCACACUCCACUACAAAUAAAAAUUAAAAAAAAAACAGUAUUGUCAUCAAACUUUGUCACAAAUCCACAUUUGUACAUCUAUAAUUAUGAGUUGGAUAAUUAGUUAAUUUGAUACAAUACCAAAGCAAGAAUAAUCGACAAACAACUAUACCACCGCAUACUAAUAAGUAAGAUAUAACAGAUAACCAAAUUCUUGAAUCUUAAAAUAAAUUUCAACUCGAGCAUUUAGUGAAUAUCAAAUUAACUAAUAUCCCGCCCGUAGGGCGGACCGACCCUAGUACUAAAAAAAAAUAUGUAUAUGUUUUCUUCUUUUUGUUCUUAUAGUGAUAUAGCAUGAGGAAUAUGAUUUCAAUCUUUUACUAAAUAAUAAAAAUUCAUAUGAAAAUAAAAAGAUAUACACCUGAUUAAUGUGCGUUCUUGUACCAAUACUUCCAAAAAAAGUUACGUAUUGAUUUUGCUUUGUGU
rnacentral:lncRNA from 1 species